AGUGAACGCUGGCGGUAGGCCUAACACAUGCAAGUCGAACGGCAGCACAGGAGAGCUUGCUCUCUGGGUGGCGAGUGGCGGACGGGUGAGGAAUACAUCGGAAUCUACUCUGUCGUGGGGGAUAACGUAGGGAAACUUACGCUAAUACCGCAUACGAUCUACGGGUGAAAGCAGGGGAUCUUCGGACCUUGCGCGAUUGAAUGAGCCGAUGUCGGAUUAGCUAGUUGGCGGGGUAAAGGCCCACCAAGGCGACGAUCCGUAGCUGGUCUGGGAGGAUGAUCAGCCACACUGGAACUGAGACACGGUCCCGACUCCUACGGGAGGCAGCAGUGGGGAAUAUUGGACAAUGGGCGCAAGCCUGAUCCAGCCAUACCGCGUGGGUGAAGAAGGCCUUCGGGUUGUAAAGCCCUUUUGUUGGGAAAGAAAUCCAUCUGGUUAAUACCCGGGUGGGAUGACGGUACCCAAAGAAUAAGCACCGGCUAACUUCGUGCCAGCCGCCGCCGUAA
rnacentral:rRNA from 1 species